GCCCCAUUAGACCAAUCGGUAGAGUCAACUGAUUCAAGUCCAGUCAAGUCACGGUUCGAAUCCGCGAUGGGGCACCA
rnacentral:tRNA from 1 species